GUGCUCGCUUCGGCAGCACAACUACUGCUAAAAAUUGGAACUAUACAAAGAUGGUUAGCAUCGUCACUGCGCAAGGAUGACAUUCAAUUUGUGUAGCGUUACAUAUUAAA